AGAGUUUGAUUAUGGCUCAGGACGAACGCUGGCGGCGUGCCUAAUACAUGCAAGUCGAGCGGACAGAUGGGAGCUUGCUCCCUGAUGUUAGCGGCGGACGGGUGAGUAACACGUGGGUAACCUGCCUGUAAGACUGGGAUAACUCCGGGAAACCGGGGCUAAUACCGGAUGGUUGUUUGAACCGCAUGGUUCAAACAUAAAAGGUGGCUUCGGCUACCACUUACAGAUGGACCCGCGGCGCAUUAGCUAGUUGGUGAGGUAACGGCUCACCAAGGCGACGAUGCGUAGCCGACCUGAGAGGGUGAUCGGCCACACUGGGACUGAGACACGGCCCAGACUCCUACGGGAGGCAGCAGUAGGGAAUCUUCCGCAAUGGACGAAAGUCUGACGGAGCAACGCCGCGUGAGUGAUGAAGGUUUUCGGAUCGUAAAGCUCUGUUGUUAGGGAAGAACAAGUACCGUUCGAAUAGGGCGGUACCUUGACGGUACCUAACCAGAAAGCCACGGCUAACUACGUGCCAGCAGCCGCGGUAAUACGUAGGUGGCAAGCGUUGUCCGGAAUUAUUGGGCGUAAAGGGCUCGCAGGCGGUUUCUUAAGUCUGAUGUGAAAGCCCCCGGCUCAACCGGGGAGGGUCAUUGGAAACUGGGGAACUUGAGUGCAGAAGAGGAGAGUGGAAUUCCACGUGUAGCGGUGAAAUGCGUAGAGAUGUGGAGGAACACCAGUGGCGAAGGCGACUCUCUGGUCUGUAACUGACGCUGAGGAGCGAAAGCGUGGGGAGCGAACAGGAUUAGAUACCCUGGUAGUCCACGCCGUAAACGAUGAGUGCUAAAUGUUAGGGGGUUUCCGCCCCUUAGUGCUGCAGCUAACGCAUAAGCA
rnacentral:rRNA from 1 species